ensembl:lncRNA
AUGAGAGGUAAUUCCUUUUGUGCUGAGGUGGAUAAAAUCUCACUGCACAUAGCCUACUACUUCAGUGCCCUCAAGAAUUCUGUGGUGUACGAACCUCCUCUCCAAGAAAAGAAAAUGCAGAGAAGACUCACCACUCGGCAGGCCUUGGAAAUGAUCCUGAGUGAAGUAAACCCUUGUGACUCAGAUGGAGAAGACAUAGAACUUCAGCCGGAUUCGGACUCAGAGCUGUCUGAUCUGUCUUCAGAUGAGGAGACUGCUCCUCAACCAAAAAAGAGAGCCCGUUUGGGGACUGACCUGACAGAGACAGCGAAAGAUGGCACAGUGUGGUGUGAAGAACAGGUGGGGACGCGUCUCCCUUUCACCCCAAUCAAAGCGUAUGCUGCAGGUCUUUUGUGGUUCUAUGUUUGUGUUUCUAAUUUUUUUAGAAUCAACACCGCCAAGUGUGUCAUUGUGUCAUUGUGUGUAAAAGUGCUAUGAAAAUAACAAUUUAUCUUAUUUAUUAGGUGUCUACUGACGCUGACGGCGUAUGCGCCCAAACGGAAGAAGACCGUCUACAUUCUUAGCAGCAUGCACAGCGUGAUUCAGACUGAUAAUACCACCAAAAGGAAGCCAAACACUGUCACCCUUUACAACACCACAAAGUGCGGCGUGGAUGUGAUGGACCAGAUGGUGCGGGAGUACACUGUCCGUACAGGGACACGGCGCUGACCAGUUGCCGUGUUCUAUAACAUGAUUGACAUGGCAGCACUGAAUGCACAUGUGCUGUAUCAAGCAUGCACCGGAAGGCAGGAAAGACGGGUGGACUUCCUGGUGGAGCUUGCAAGAGAGUUGGCUAACUCUCAUAUGUGUGCGAAGAAGGCAAGAAAAGAACAAUUGCUUCGGACACAACCCUCCACACCUAGCCCUGGAAAAAGAGCCAUGUGUCAGGUCAAACACCAAUGCAAGAACAAUCAUGCCACUGUGCGAUGUGUUCACUGCUACAGAUACACAUGUGGUAAAUGCAGACGGGAGAUACCAUGGCAGUGCCAGGAUUGUGAGUGAUUGCUGGAAUGUACUCACUCACUUUUUAAUAUUAUUUGUAAAUAUGUGUACAAAUGGUUGGUUUCUUUAUUUUAUUUUGUACUAUUUUAUCAAAUCUCAGCAACAAAGGAAAAAAAAACAUGUGUGUUGAUUUCUCCCUAAGAUGGCAAAGUGAAACACAAGUUUCCUUGAAGUGGCUCAGCAUGGCCCCACAUUGUUUACAUAAUAAAAGCAACUGUUCACAGCUGAUUAAGGAUAUU